AGAGUUUGAUCCUGGCUCAGGAUGAACGCUGGCGGCGUGCCUAAUACAUGCAAGUCGAGCGGUAAGGCUCCUGCAGGUUAUUUGAUCACGGCAACUUCGGUUGCCAGAACGUGCCACUCACAACCCCGGCUAGGGAAGUGACGGUAUGGGAAGAUCGAAUAUCGUGCUGGAGUACACGAGCGGCGGACGGCUGAGUAACACGUAGGAACGUACCCCAAAGUGAGGGAUAAGCACCAGAAAUGGUGUCUAAUACCGCAUGUGAUCUAAGGAUUAAAGCUCCGGCGCUUUGGGAACGGCCUGCGUAUGAUUAGAUUGUUGGUGAGGUAAUGGCUCACCAAGUCGACGAUCAUUAGCUGGUCUGAGAGGAUGACCAGCCAGACUGGAACUGAGAACGGUCCAGACUCCUACGGGAGGCAGCAGUAGGGAAUUUUCCACAAUGGGCGAAAGCCUGAUGGAGCAACGCCGCGUGCAGGAUGAAUGCCUUAGGGUUGUAAACUGCUUUUAUCUGUGACGAAUAUGACGGUAGCAGAUGAAUAAGGAUCGGCUAACUCCGUGCCAGCAGCCGCGGUCAUACGGAGGAUCCAAGCGUUAUCCGGAAUUACUGGGCGUAAAGAGUUGCGUAGGUGGCACUGUAAGUAGGUAGUGAAAGCGUUCGGCUCAACCGGAUAUACAUUACCUAAACUGCAGAGCUAGAGGAUGAGAGAGGUUAUUGGAAUUGCUAGUGUAGGAGUGAAAUCCGUAGAUAUUAGCAGGAACACCGAUGGCGUAGGCAGAUAACUGGCUCAUUCCUGACACUAAGGCACGAAAGCGUGGGGAGCAAACGGGAUUAGAUACCCUAGUAGUCC
rnacentral:rRNA from 1 species